rnacentral:rRNA from 1 species
CCCUUAGAUGUUCUGGGCCGCACGCGUGCUACACUGAGUGGAUCAGCGGGUCAGGUUGCGCGAAAGCGUUUCCUAAUCUUUAAAUCCGCUCGUGAUGGGGAUUGACGGUUGCAAUUGUCUGUCAUGAACGAGGAAUACCUUGUAAGCGCGGGUCAUCAUCCCGCGCUGAAUACGUCCCUGCCCUUUGUACACACCGCCCGUCGCUCCUACCGAUUGAGUGGUCCGGUGAGGCUUUGGGAUCUGAGCGGAAAGAGCGUUUCGCUGUUUCUGCUCGGAAAACUCAGUCGAACCUUAUCAUUUAGAGGAAGGAGAAGUCGUAACA